rnacentral:lncRNA from 1 species
AUUGGUCGUUAUCAUCUGAUUUUGACAUAGAUAGACCACUCUUGACCUGUGCUUAGUGGUGUGAACAGCGCUUGGCUCCGCGUUCUACGAAUACGAGGUCUUUCCUAAGUACUAACGUACCUAACCUACCCCAAAUUGUUUUUGUCUGGUUUCUCCUCUGUGGCGUUCCUAUUACCAUUUGUUUACAAUCUGUGUUUGUGUUUCCUAUUUGUAUAUAACACCUUAACCUCAAAUUUUUAAAAGUCAGGAAAAAACAGGGUUGUUAACAACGCAACUGAAUAUUUCCGUAGAUGGCGCUUCAAAAAUCCGUAGAAAUCCGUAGUGCAGAAAUCUGACAGAAAAUGACACUUGGCAGACCAAAAAAAGAAGAAGAAUGACACUUGACAGACAAAAAAGAAGAAGAAUGAUGCUUGACAGACCAAAAAAAGAAGAAGAAUGACACUUGACAGACCAAAAAGAAGAAUGGUGACACUUGAUAGACCAAAAAAGAAGAAGAAUGGCACUUGACAGACCAAAAAAGAAGAAGAAUGUUACUUGAUAGACCAAAAAAGAAGAAGAAUGACACCUUAAGCAUAGAGGUAUAUAUUAACAUAGAGGGAGCCUACCUUCCGCGCUUCCUGACGACAAGAUCUCAUGGACUGGUUUGCUGCAUCUCUUUCUAACACAUUGUAUCGAAAAUCUAUGAUGACAUUCAGUGUGAAUAUAGGUACGGAAGAGGAGGACAACUAUAGCAGCUUUACUGUGCGUAAGAGUGAAACAGCACUAAUCAAAAUAAAAAAGAUGGUGUCGUCACUUCGCUCUGAAUGACACUCUCUCUAUGCUAAUAUAUAACUCUAUGACCUUAAGAGUAAAAAAUCCUCAUUUUAGCUUCUUGAUGGCUGCAGCUGAAAAAUCCGUAGAAAUGUGGUCGAUAUCCGAAAAUCCGAAAUAAUUUCGAAAAUCCGUAGAUCUACGGAAAAAUCCGUAGAGUUAACAACCCUGGGAAAAAAUGCUACCAUCUCACGCAAAUGUCAGCGGCCCUGAUAUGGUUUAGAACCAGAUUACAUCACGGUCGCCAAUAAAUAGUGCUGGCGAAUCGCCUCGUAGCGAAGCCAUAAAAAAAGAGAAGAAGAAGAAGACAUAGAUAGACAUAUGGAUCUGGAUGAAUUUUUGUGGUUAUGUAAGUAUAUUUUUUGUCUGUCUGAUUGACACUUUCUUGUUUUUGAAAAAUUUGUUCAAGAAUGGAAAUAUGAAGACGUGGAAAGAUAUGCAGAAAGUUGAGACAAGUUAUGUAAGGUCUAGAACAGUUCACACAAAGAAACAAGAUGAUUUAUACUAUGAGUAUAGUUUUUAAUCAAUUUCAUGCUAUGAGUGUAACAGAAAUAACAAUAAUAUGCAAGGAGUAUAGAUGCUAGGAGAGUAUAUUAUAUUCAUUGAUGUGGAUAUAAGCCCAACUAUAAAAUAAUUAGGACAGAGAAACCUGUUCCAUUCAUUGUCCCUCCAGACUGAUUUGCAAACUGUGAGAUCAAGGACAGCUUUCUAUCAGUUAUGUAUUGGAAAACACAUGCUGGACAUGCUGAACCAUGCAUCUGUAAAAACUACAAGAAAAAAUGGUUGUAGAGAAAUUAAUGAGGUGCCACCCAAUAAAAUUUCAUGAGAUUCAAGAAUGUGAAGAUACAUGAGCAAUUUCAGAUGAUGCUGCAAGGUGUUUGGGAGAAAAUAAAAAGAGAAACUGAGUAAACAUUGAAUUUGAUAUUAAGAUAGUUUUUUAGCUCACAAAUGUUUUUUGUUUUGUAUCUGUAUUAAAUUUUUAUUAUACAGUAGGUACUUAGCACCCCAAUUAUCCGUGCUCCUCGUGACCGGAAGUGGCACGGAUAAUUGAAAAGCACAGAUGAUCCAAUCAUUAAUUUCUUAUACAGUGAGCACGUAAAGGUUGGAAUAAAUUCAUUUUCUCGAGAAUGGACGACUUUUGAAAAAAAUCCCAAAACAGGUCAAUUUUUAAUUUUAAAUUACGACUUUUUGGCAUAUAUAUAAUACUAGUGACUUCACCCAUCUGGGCGUGAUGACGUCAUCGAUGAUUUUUUUAAAUGAGACUAGUAGUCGUGUGAUAGCUCAUUUGAAAGGUAAUUCAAUUCUCUAUUCAGUAAUAUAAACAUUAACAUAAUUAUUUAUACAGGGUGUCCAAAAAAUUUUUUUUUGUAUUAAAUUUAUUGACAUAAAAAGAAGAAUGUAUGUAAUUUAUUUAUUUCAAAAUACAUUUUACUGCUCGCAGAAAACAGAAAAAAAUGUAUAUUUGAAAAAUAAUCAUUGCUUUUUGCUUAAAUUAAAUGUUCAAAUUGUCACGAGGCUGGUGGGUACCUGCUUUAAUAUUGAAUUUAAGCCAAAAACAAUAUUUAUUUGCCAAAAACACAUUUUUUCCUGUUUUAUGAUAGCAGUAAAAUGUAUUUUGAAUUAAAUAAAUUACACUCAUUCUUCUUUUUAUGUCAAUAAAUUUAAUUCAAAAAAAUUUUUUUUGGGCACCCUGUAUAAAUAAUUAUGUUAAUGUUUAUAUUACUGAAUAAAGAAUUGAAUUACCUUUCAAAUGAGCUAUCACACGACCCCUAUUCUCAUUUAAAAAAAACAUCGAUGACGUCAUCACGCCCAGAUGGGUGACGUAACUAGUAUGACAUAUAUGCCAAAAAGUCUUAAUUUAAAAAUAAAAAUUGACCUGUUUCGGGAUUUUUUCCCAAAAUCGUCCGUUCUUGAGAAAAUGAAUUUAUUCCAACCUUUACGUGCUCACUGUAUAUGAUUCAUAUAAGAAUAUUUCAUAAGAAUUUCUUAUGCAUGAUAUGUACUUACCUAUCAUAAAAAAAUAACAGAAAAAAUAAAUCUUUCAUUAUGAGUCUCCUUUUCUGCAUAUAGAGUUUCUGUCGAGUGAUUAAAGUGAUGCUAUUUUGAUAAAACCUUAAAAAUUCAAUUUGAGUAAUAGAAAAUCAUAGCACGGAUAAUCCGCAGCCCGGAUAAUCUGCACACGGAUCGGGGUUCUACUGUAGUUGUAUAGGCUAAUUUACAAGAAUGUUAGUUUGUUUUUAUAGAUUUUACUUGAUUCAUAAAUAUUGUGAAAUUUCUUAUAAGAUUAUAUUUACAUAUAUACGCAUACUUAAUUUAGGUCUGAAUUUUAAAGAAUUGUUAAGUAAUGAUGUUAUUUUAUAGACAACAUUAUAAUAUACUAGAGUUGUACUUUAAAAAUCAAAAUAUUACUGGGUCCCAGGCGGGGUUUAGAGGGGUUUUACCUUCGCCAUUGCACCAAUAAGAGCCUCCCCUCCUUUGAUUUCCGAGAUUUUUAAUAAAGAAUAAAAAAUUUUAAACAUUA